UACGUAGGGUGCGAGCGUUGUCCGGAAUUAUUGGGCGUAAAGAGCUCGUAGGCGGCCUGUCGCGUCGGAUGUGAAAGACCGGGGCUUAACCCCGGUUCUGCUUCCGGUACGGGCAUGCUGGAGUGUGGCAGGGGAGACUGGAAUUCCUGGUGUAGCGGUGGAAUGCGCAGAUAUCAGGAGGAACACCGGUGGCGAAGGCGGGUCUCUGGGCCAUUACUGACGCUGAGGAGCGAAAGCGUGGGGAGCGAACAGG
rnacentral:rRNA from 1 species